CCUACGGGAGGCAGCAGUGGGGAAUAUUGCACAAUGGGCGCAAGCCUGAUGCAGCCAUGCCGCGUGUAUGAAGAAGGCCUUCGGGUUGUAAAGUACUUUCAGCGGGGAGGAAGGGGACGAGGUUAAUAACCGCGUUCAUUGACGUUACCCGCAGAAGAAGCACCGGCUAACUCCGUGCCAGCAGCCGCGGUAAUACGGAGGGUGCAAGCGUUAAUCGGAAUUACUGGGCGUAAAGCGCACGCAGGCGGUCUGUUAAGUCAGAUGUGAAAUCCCCGGGCUUAACCGGGGAACUGCAUUUGAAACUGGCAGGCUUGAGUCUUGUAGAGGGGGGUAGAAUUCCAGGUGUAGCGGUGAAAUGCGUAGAGAUCUGGAGGAAUACCGGUGGCGAAGGCGGCCCCCUGGACAAAGACUGACGCUCAGGUGCGAAAGCGUGGGGAGCAAACAGGAUUAGAUCCCCCUGUAGU
rnacentral:rRNA from 1 species